rnacentral:rRNA from 1 species
CAGCAGCCGCGGUAAUACGAAGGGGGCUAGCGUUGCUCGGAAUUACUGGGCGUAAAGGGCGCGUAGGCGGACAGUUAAGUUGGGGGUGAAAGCCCGGGGCUCAACCUCGGAAUUGCCUUCAAUACUGGCUGUCUUGAGUACGGGAGAGGUGAGUGGAACUCCGAGUGUAGAGGUGAAAUUCGUAGAUAUUCGGAAGAACACCAGUGGCGAAGGCGACUCACUGGCCUGUUACUGACGCUGAGGCGCGAAAGCGUGGGGAGCAAACAGGAUUAGAUACCCUGGUAGUCCACGCCGUAAACGAUGAGUGCUAGUUGUCGGCAUACAUGCAUGUCGGUGACGCAGCUAACGCAUUAAGCACUCCGCCUGGGGAGUACGGUCGCAAGAUUAAAACUCAAAUAAAUUGACGG